GAUGAACGCUGGCGGCGUGCCUAACACAUGCAAGUCGAACGGAAACAUCCCGUCGAUGCGAUUUCGGUCAAGUCAAGGGAUGUUUUAGUGGCGGACGGGUGAGUAACGCGUGGGCAACCUGCCUUACACCGGGGGAUAACACUUAGAAAUAGGUGCUAAUACCGCAUAACAGGAGAACAUGCAUGUGUUUUCCUUGAAAACCACGGUGGUGUAAGAUGGACCCGCGUCUGAUUAGCUUGUUGGCAGGGUAACGGCCUACCAAGGCGACGAUCAGUAGCCGGCCUGAGAGGGUGGACGGCCACAUUGGGACUGAGACACGGCCCAG
rnacentral:rRNA from 1 species